AAUAUACUCCCUCCGUCCGAAAUUACUUGUCGUAAAAAUGGAUGUAUCUAAAACUACAGUACGUCUAGAUACAUCCAUUCCUCCGACAAGUAUUUCCGGAGGUAGGGAGUAAUAA
rfam:Hordeum vulgare subsp. vulgare, WGS project CAJW01000000 data, contig: morex_contig_45176